rnacentral:rRNA from 1 species
AACGAACGCUGGCGGCAUGCCUAACACAUGCAAGUCGAACGAGACCUUCGGGUCUAGUGGCGCACGGGUGCGUAACGCGUGGGAAUCUGCCCUUGGGUGCGGAAUAACAGUUAGAAAUGACUGCUAAUACCGCAUAAUGACUCCGGUCCAAAGAUUUAUCGCCCAGGGAUGAGCCCGCGUCGGAUCAGCUAGUUGGUAGGGUAAAGCCUACCAAGGCAACGAUCCGUAGCUGGUCUGAGAGGAUGAUCAGCCACACUGGGACUGAGACACGGCCCAGACUCCUACGGGAGGCAGCAGUGGGGAAUAUUGGACAAUGGGCGAAAGCCUGAUCCAGCAAUGCCGCGUGAGUGAUGAAGGCCUUAGGGUUGUAAAGCUCUUUUACCCGGGAUGAUAAUGACAGUACCGGGAGAAUAAGCCCCGGCUAACUCCGUGCCAGCCGCCGCGGUAACAC